ACGCUGGCGGCGUGCCUAAUACAUGCAAGUAGAACGCUGAAGAGAGGAGCUUGCUCUUCUUGGAAGAGUUGCGAACGGGUGAGUAACGCGUAGGUAACCUGCCUUGUAGCGGGGGAUAACUAUUGGAAACGAUAGCUAAUACCGCAUAACAAUGGGUGACCCAUGUCAUUCAUUUGAAAGGGGCAACUGCUCCACUACAAGAUGGACCUGCGUUGUAUUAGCUAGUAGGUGAGGUAACGGCUCACCUAGGCGACGAUACAUAGCCGACCUGAGAGGGUGAUCGGCCACACUGGGACUGAGACACGGCCCAGACUCCUACGGGAGGCAGCAGUAGGGAAUCUUCGGCAAUGGGGGCAACCCUGACCGAGCAACGCCGCGUGAGUGAAGAAGGUUUUCGGAUCGUAAAGCUCUGUUGUAAGUCAAGAACGAGUGUGAGAGUGGAAAGUUCACACUGUGACGGUAGCUUACCAGAAAGGGACGGCUAACUACGUGCCAGCAGCCGCGGUAAUACGUAGGUCCCGAGCGUUGUCCGGAUUUAUUGGGCGUAAAGCGAGCGCAGGCGGUUUGAUAAGUCUGAAGUUAAAGGCUGUGGCUCAACCAUAGUUCGCUUUGGAAACUGUCAAACUUGAGUGCAGAAGGGGAGAGUGGAAUUCCAUGUGUAGCGGUGAAAUGCGUAGAUAUAUGGAGGAACACCGGUGGCGAAAGCGGCUCUCUGGUCUGUAACUGACGCUGAGGCUCGAAAGCGUGGGGAGCGAACAGGAUUAGAUACCCUGGUAGUCCACGCCGUAAACGAUGAGUGCUAGGUGUUGGGUCCUUUCCGGGAUUCAGUGCCGCAGCUAACGCAUUAAGCACUCCGCCUGGGGAGUACGACCGCAAGGUUGAAACUCAAAGGAAUUGACGGGGGCCC
rnacentral:rRNA from 1 species